UACGGAGGGGGCUAGCGUUGUUCGGAAUUACUGGGCGUAAAGGGCGCGUAGGCGGCGCACCAAGUCAGGCGUGAAAGCCCUGGGCUCAACCCGGGAAUUGCGCUUGAGACUGGUGUGCUUGAGUACGGGAGAGGAUAGUGGAAUUCCCGGUGUAGAGGUGAAAUUCGUAGAUAUCGGGAGGAACACCGGUGGCGAAGGCGGCGAUCUGGGUUGAUACUGACGCUGAGGUGCGAAAGCGUGGGGAGCAAACAGG
rnacentral:rRNA from 1 species